ACGCUCGACACCUACGGAGGCAGCAGUGGGGAAUAUUGCACAAUGGGGGAAACCCUGAUGCAGCGACGCCGCGUGAGCGAAGAAGUAUUUCGGUAUGUAAAGCUCUAUCAGCAGGGAAGAAAAUGACGGUACCUGACUAAGAAGCACCGGCUAAAUACGUGCCAGUAGCCGCGGUAAUCUGAGCGGGCUGGCAAGGC
rnacentral:rRNA from 1 species